rnacentral:rRNA from 1 species
CGCACGGGUGAGUAACACGUGAGUGACCUGCCUUUUAGACUGGAACAACUUACCGAAAGGUGAGCUAAUGCCGGAUGAGUUAUAUAAGUACAUGUUUAUAUAGGAAAAGUUGGGGAGACCUGACGCUGAAAGAUGGACUCGCGUCCCAUUAGCUAGUUGGUAGGGUAAUGGCCUACCAAGGCGACGAUGGGUAGCCGGCCUGAGAGGGUGGCCGGCCACACUGGGACUGAGACACGGCCCAGACUCCUACGGAAGGCAGCAG